CACGUAGGGCGCAAGCGUUGUCCGGAAUUAUUGGGCGUAAAGAGCUCGUAGGCGGUCUGUUGCGUCCGCUGUGAAAACUCGGGGCUUAACCCCGAGCCUGCAGUGGAUACGGGCAGACUAGAGGUAGGUAGGGGAGAAUGGAAUUCCCGGUGUAGCGGUGAAAUGCGCAGAUAUCGGGAGGAACACCGGUGGCGAAGGCGGAUCUCUGGGCCUUGCCUGACGCUGAGGCGCGAAAGCUAGGGGAGCGAACAGG
rnacentral:rRNA from 1 species